rfam:Felis catus isolate Cinnamon breed Abyssinian chromosome D3, whole genome shotgun sequence.
GCCUGGGUGGCUCAGUCGGUUAAGCGUCCGACUUCAGCUCAGGUCAUGAUCUCGCGGUCCGUGGGUUCAAGCCCCGCGUCGGGCU